rnacentral:rRNA from 1 species
ACGAACGCUGGCGGCGCGCUUAACACAUGCAAGUCGAGCGAGAACCAGUCCUUCGGGACUGGGGGAAAGCGGCGAACGGGUGAGUAUCACGUGGGUAAUCUGCCCUCGGCACUGGGAUAGCCCGGGGAAACCCGGAUUAAUACCGGAUAGCCUCUCGAGCCUUCGGGCUCGUCAGAAAAGGUGGCUUCGGCUUCCGACCGUGGAUGAGCCCGCGGCGGAUUAGCUUGUUGGUGGGGUAACGGCCCACCAAGGCGACGAUCCGUAGCUGGUCUGAGAGGACGAUCAGCCACACUGGGACUGAGACACGGCCCAGACUCCUACGGGAGGCAGCAGUGGGGAAUCUUGCGCAAUGGGCGAAAGCCUGACGCAGCGACGCCGCGUGCGGGAUGACGGCCUUCGGGUUGUAAACCGCUUUCAGUUCCGACGAAGCGAAAGUGACGGUAGGAACAGAAGAAGGACCGGCCAACUACGUGCCAGCAGCCGCGGUGAUACGUAGGGUCCGAGCGUUGUCCGGAAUUAUUGGGCGUAAAGGGCUUGUAGGCGGUUUGUCACGUCGGAAGUGAAAACUCAGGGCUUAACCCUGAGCCUGCUUCCGAUACGGGCAAACUAGAGGAAUGCAGGGGAGAAUGGAAUUCCUGGUGGAGCGGUGGAAUGCGCAGAUAUCAGGAGGAACACCGGUGGCGAAGGCGGUUCUCUGGGCAUUUCCUGACGCUGAGAAGCGAAAGCGUGGGGAGCAAACAGGCUUAGAUACCCUGGUAGUCCACGCCGUAAACGGUGGGCACUAGGUGUGGGGAACAUUCCACGUUCUCCGUGCCGAAGCUAACGCAUUAAGUGCCCCGCCUGGGGAGUACGGCCGCAAGGCUAAAACUCAAAGGAAUUGACGGGGGCCCGCACAAGCGGCGGAGCAUGCGGAUUAAUUCGAUGCAACGCGAAGAACCUUACCUGGGUUUGACAUAUACCGGAAAGCUGCAGAGAUGUAGCCCCCGCAAGGUCGGUAUACAGGUGGUGCAUGGCUGUCGUCAGCUCGUGUCGUGAGAUGUUGGGUUAAGUCCCGCAACGAGCGCAACCCUCGUCCUAUGUUGCCAGCGGAUAAUGCCGGGGACUCAUAGGAGACUGCCGGGGUCAACUCGGAGGAAGGUGGGGAUGACGUCAAGUCAUCAUGCCCCUUAAGUCCAGGGCUUCACGCAUGCUACAAUGGCUGGUACAAAGGGCUGCGAAACCGCAAGGUCGAGCGAAUCCCAAAAAGCCAGUCUCAGUUCGGAUUGGGGUCUGCAACUCGACCCCAUGAAGUCGGAGUCGCUAGUAAUCGCAGAUCAGCAACGCUGCGGUGAAUACGUUCCCG